rnacentral:lncRNA from 1 species
CCAAUUCGGCCAAAUUCAUUCGAUUUUCAGUCAGGACCGACUCUACCGAGUUUCGACCAUGGUCAUGAACCCAAUUUUGUCGAUUUCUGACUGAGGUUGACUUGGCCGAAUAUCGGUCGAGACUGACUUGACUGAAUUUCGUAUUGGUCUUCCCGACCUAAUUCAGUCAAGUUUAGGCUGAGGUUGACUCGACCGAGUUUCG